rnacentral:rRNA from 1 species
UACAGAGGGGGCAAGCGUUAUUCGGAAUUAUUGGGCGUAAAGGGCGCGUAGGCGGCCUUGCAAGUGGCGGGCGAAAUCCCUCGGCUUAACCGAGGAACUGCCUGCCAGACUGCAAGGCUCGAGACCGGGAGAGGUGAGUGGAAUUCCCAGUGUAGCGGUGAAAUGCGUAGAUAUUGGGAGGAACACCAGUGGCGAAGGCGGCUCACUGGACCGGAACUGACGCUGAGGCGCGAAAGCGUGGGGAGCAAACAGG